AGGUUGGUUAAUCAAUGAUGGAAACUGGGAGACACGUAGUUCCAAAAUGUGAAUCCGAGGGGUUCGAAUCCCUACCAACU
rnacentral:tRNA from 1 species